rnacentral:rRNA from 2 species
CGACGUUGAUAGGUCGGGUGUGUAAGCGCAGCGAUGCGUUGAGCUAACCGAUACUAAUGAACCGUGAGGCUUAACCUU